rnacentral:rRNA from 1 species
GAUGAACGCUGGCGGCGUGCCUAAUACAUGCAAGUCGAGCGAACAGACGAGAGUGCUUGCACUCUCUGACGUUAGCGGCGGACGGGUGAGUAACACGUGGGUAACCUACCUAUAAGACUGGGAUAACUUCGGGAAACCGGAGCUAAUACCGAAUAAUAUUUAGCUUCGCAUGAAGCAAUAGUGAAAGACGGUUCUGCAGUCACUUAUAGAUGGACCCGCGGUGUAUUAGCUAGUUGGUGAGGUAACGGCUCACCAAGGCAACGAUACAUAGCCGACCUGAGAGGGUGAUCGGCCACACUGGGACUGAGACACGGCCCAGACUCCUACGGGAGGCAGCAGUAGGGAAUCUUCCGCAAUGGACGAAAGUCUGACGGAGCAAUGCCGCGUGAGUGAAGAAGGUUUUCGGAUCGUAAAACUCUGUUGUAAGGGAAGAACAAGUACGUUAGUAACUGAACGUACCUUGACGGUACCUUACCAGAAAGCCACGGCUAACUACGUG